UACGAAGGGGGCUAGCGUUGCUCGGAAUCACUGGGCGUAAAGCGCACGUAGGCGGAUUGUUAAGUCAGGGGUGAAAUCCUGGAGCUCAACUCCAGAACUGCCUUUGAUACUGGCGAUCUUGAGUCCGGGAGAGGUGAGUGGAACUGCGAGUGUAGAGGUGAAAUUCGUAGAUAUCUGGAGGAACACCGGUGGCGAAGGCGGCAUCCUGGACCGACACUGACGCUGAGGCGCGAAAGCUAGGGGAGCAAACGGG
rnacentral:rRNA from 1 species